GGCGGCGUGCCUAAUACAUGCAAGUAGAACGCUGAAGGAGGAGCUUGCUUCUCCGGAUGAGUUGCGAACGGGUGAGUAACGCGUAGGUAACCUGCCUGGUAGCGGGGGAUAACUAUUGGAAACGAUAGCUAAUACCGCAUAAGAGUAGAUGUUGCAUGACAUUUGCUUAAAAGGUGCAAUUGCACCACUACCAGAUGGACCUGCGUUGUAUUAGCUAGUUGGUGGGGUAACGGCUCACCAAGGCGACGAUACAUAGCCGACCUGAGAGGGUGAUCGGCCACACUGGGACUGAGACACGGCCCAGACUCCUACGGGAGGCAGCAGUAGGGAAUCUUCGGCAAUGGACGGAAGUCUGACCGAGCAACGCCGCGUGAGUGAAGAAGGUUUUCGGAUCGUAAAGCUCUGUUGUAAGAGAAGAACGAGUGUGAGAGUGGAAAGUUCACGCUGUGAC
rnacentral:rRNA from 1 species